ACGAACGCUGGCGGCACGCUUAACACAUGCAAGUCGAACGAGAGAAGAGGAGCUUGCUUUUCUGAUCUAGUGGCGGACGGGUGAGUAACACGUGAGCAAUCUGCCUUUCAGAGGGGGAUACCGAUUGGAAACGAUCGUUAAUACCGCAUAACAUAAUUGAACCGCAUGAUUUGAUUAUCAAAGAUUUAUCGCUGAAAGAUGAGCUCGCGUCUGAUUAGCUAGUUGGUAAGGUAACGGCUUACCAAGGCGACGAUCAGUAGCCGGACUGAGAGGUUGAUCGGCCACAUUGGGACUGAGACACGGCCCAGACUCCUACGGGAGGCAGCAGUGGGGAAUAUUGCACAAUGGAGGAAACUCUGAUGCAGCGAUGCCGCGUGAGGGAAGAAGGUUUUAGGAUUGUAAACCUCUGUCUUCAGGGACGAAAAAUGACGGUACCUGAGGAGGAAGCUCCGGCUAACUACGUGCCAGCAGCCGCGGUAAUACGUAGGGAGCGAGCGUUGUCCGGAAUUACUGGGUGUAAAGGGAGCGUAGGCGGGAUCGCAAGUCAGAUGUGAAAACUAUGGGCUUAACCCAUAAACUGCAUUUGAAACUGUGGUUCUUGAGUGAAGUAGAGGUAAGCGGAAUUCCUAGUGUAGCGGUGAAAUGCGUAGGUAUUAGGAGGAACAUCAGUGGCGAAGGCGGCUUACUGGGCUUUAACUGACGCUGAGGCUCGAAAGCGUGGGGAGCAAACAGGAUUAGAUACCCUGGUAGUCCACGCCGUAAACGAUGAUUACUAGGUGUGGGGGGACUGACCCCUUCCGUGCCGCAGCAAACGCAAUAAGUAAUCCACCUGGGGAGUACGACCGCAAGGUUGAAACUCAAAGGAAUUGACGGGGGCCCGCACAAGCAGUGGAGUAUGUGGAUUAAUUCGAAGCAACGCGAAGAACCUUACCAGGUCUUGACAUCGUAUGCAUAGCUCAGAGAUGAGUGAAAUCUCUUCGGAGACAUAUAGACAGGUGGUGCAUGGUUGUCGUCAGCUCGUGUCGUGAGAUGUUGGGUUAAGUCCCGCAACGAGCGCAACCCUUACUGUUAGUUGCUACGCAAGAGCACUCUAGCAGGACUGCCGUUGACAAAACGGAGGAAGGUGGGGAUGACGUCAAAUCAUCAUGCCCCUUAUGACCUGGGCCUCACACGUACUACAAUGGCUGUCAACAGAGGGAAGCAAAGCCGCGAGGUGGAGCAAACCCCUAAAAGCAGUCUUAGUUCGGAUUGUAGGCUGCAACCCGCCUACAUGAAGUCGGAAUUGCUAGUAAUCGCAGAUCAGCAUGCUGCGGUGAAUACGUUCCCGGGCCUUGUACACACCGCCCGUCACGCCAUGGGAGUCGGUAACACCCGAAGCCUGUAGUCUAACCGCAAGGAGGACGCAGUCGAAGGUGGGAUUGAUGACUGGGGUG
rnacentral:rRNA from 1 species